ensembl:snoRNA small nucleolar RNA, C/D box 11
GUGAUCUGUGAUGAUUUUAAUUUGUUUGCCUGACUUCCUUUUCAAUAAUGAGGGCAACUUUAGUCACUACCUCUUCUGAGACAC